rnacentral:rRNA from 1 species
GAUGAACGCUGGCGGCGUGCCUAAUACAUGCAAGUCAAGCGAACAGACGAGGAGCUUGCUCCUCUGACGUUAGCGGCGGACGGGUGAGUAACACGUGGAUAACCUACCUAUAAGACUGGGAUAACUUCGGGAAACCGGAGCUAAUACCGGAUAAUAUAUUGAACCGCAUGGUUCAAUAGUGAAAGACGGUUUUGCUGUCACUUAUAGAUGGAUCCGCGCCGCAUUAGCUAGUUGGUAAGGUAACGGCUUACCAAGGCAACGAUGCGUAGCCGACCUGAGAGGGUGAUCGGACACACUGGAACUGAGACACGUUCCAGACUCCUACGGGAGGCAGCAGUAGGGAAUCUUCCGCAAUGGACGAAAGCCUGACGGAGCAACGCCGCGUGAGUGAUGAAGGUCUUCGGAUCGUAAAACUCUGUUAUUAGGGAAGAACAAAUGUGUAAGUAACUAUGCACGUCUUGACGGUACCUAAUCAGAAAGCCACGGCUAACUACGUG